GCGGGUAUAGCUCAGGGGUAGAGCAACAGCCUUCCAAGCUGAAGACGCGGGUUCAAUUCCCGCUACCCGCUCCA
rnacentral:tRNA from 1 species